UACGGAGGGGGCUAGCGUUGUUCGGAUUUACUGGGCGUAAAGGGCGCGUAGGCGGCGCAACAAGUCACUUGUGAAAUCUCCGGGCUUAACCCGGAGCGGCCAAGUGAUACUGUCGUGCUAGAGUGCGGAAGGGGCUACUGGAAUUCUCGGUGUAGCGGUGAAAUGCGUAGAUAUCGAGAGGAACACCUGCGGCGAAGGCGGGUAGCUGGGCCGACACUGACGCUGAGGCGCGAAAGCCAGGGGAGCGAACGGG
rnacentral:rRNA from 1 species